rnacentral:rRNA from 1 species
UACGUAGGGGUCGAGCGUUGUCCGGAGUUACUGGGCGUAAAGCGCGCGCAGGCGGCGCGAUAAGACCGGCGUGAAAGCCCCCGGCUCAACCGGGGAGGGUCGUUGGGUGACUGUCGCGCUUGGAAGGCAGCAGGGGUGAGUGGAAUUCCCGGUGUAGUGGUGAAAUGCGUAGAGAGCGGGAGGAACACCCGUGGCGAAGGCGGCUCACUGGGCUGACCUGACGCUG